rnacentral:rRNA from 1 species
UGGCUCAUUAUAUAAGUUAUCGUUUAUUUGAUAGUACCUUACUACUUGGAUAACCGUGGUAAUUCUAGAGCUAAUACAUGCUAAAAAUCCCGACUUCGGAAGGGAUGUAUUUAUUAGAUUAAAAACCAAUGCCCUCUGGGCUCCUUGGUGAUUCAUGAUAACUUCUCGAAUCGCAUGGCCUUGCGCCGGCGAUGGUUCAUUCAAAUUUCUUCCCUAUCAACUUUCGAUGUUUGGGUAGUGGCCAAACAUGGUUGCAACGGGUAACGGAGGGUUAGGGCUCGACCCCGGAGAAGGAGCCUGAGAAACGGCUACUACAUCCAAGGAAGGCAGCAGGCGCGCAAAUUACCCAAUCCCGAUUCGGGGAGGUAGUGACAAUAAAUACUGAUACAGGGCUCUUUUGGGUCUUGUAAUUGGAAUGAGUACAAUUUAAAUCCCUUAACGAGGAACAAUUGGAGGGCAAGUCUGGUGCCAGCAGCCGCGGUAAUUCCAGCUCCAAUAGCGUAUAUUAAAGUUGUUGUGGUUAAAAAGCUCGUAGUUGAACCUUGGGCCUGGCUGGCCGGUCCGCCUCACCGCGUGUACUGGUCCGGCCGGGCCUUUCCCUCUGUGGAACCCCAUGCCCUUCACUGGGUGUGGCGGGGAAACAGGACUUUUACUUUGAAAAAAUUAGAGUGCUCCAGGCAGGCCUAUGCUCGAAUACAUUAGCAUGGAAUAAUAAAAUAGGACGUGCGGUUCUAUUUUGUUGGUUUCUAGGACCGCCGUAAUGAUUAAUAGGGACAGUCGGGGGCAUCAGUAUUCAAUUGUCAGAGGUGAAAUUCUUGGAUUUAUUGAAGACUAACUACUGCGAAAGCAUUUGCCAAGGAUGUUUUCAUUAAUCAGGAACGAAAGUUAGGGGAUCGAAGACGAUCAGAUACCGUCGUAGUCUUAACCAUAAACUAUGCCGACUAGGGAUCGGACGAUGUUAUUUUUUGACUCGUUCGGCACCUUACGAGAAAUCAAAGUGCUUGGGCUCCA